rnacentral:rRNA from 1 species
UAUAAAUCUGCCCACUAGCGAUCCGUCGGCGGUUUUUUUGCCCUGAUGGGGAGCUUCCCGGAAACGAAAGUCUUCCGGUUCCGGGGGAAGUAUGGUUGCAAAGCUGAAACUUAAAGAAAUUGACGGAAGGGCACCACCAGGAGUGGAGCCUGCGGCUUAAUUUGACUCAACACGGGAAAACUCACCCGGUCCGGACACUGUAAGGAUUGACAGAUUGAAAGCUCUUUCUUGAUUCGGUGGAUGGUGGUGCAUGGCCGUUCUUAUG